rnacentral:rRNA from 1 species
CUAUCAGGUAGUAGUGGGUGUAGCGUACCUACUAGCCUACGACGGGUACGGGUUGUGAGAGCAAGAGCCCGGAGAUGGAUUCUGAGACACGAAUCCAGGCCCUACGGGGUGCAGCAGGCGCGAAAACUUUACAAUGCUGGCAACAGCGAUAAGGGAACCUCGAGUGCCAGGUUACAAAUCUGGCUGUCGAGAUGCCUAAAAAGCAUUUCAUAGCAAGGGCCGGGCAAGACCGGUGCCAGCCGCCGCGGUAACACCGGCGGCUCGAGUGGUAACCGUUAUUAUUGGGUCUAAAGGGUCUGUAGCCGGCCGGAUAAGUCUCUUGAGAAAUCUGGCAGCUUAACUGUCAGGCUUUCAGGAGAUACUGUCUGGCUCGAGGCCGGGAGAGGUGAGAGGUACUUCAGGGGUAGGGGUGAAAUCUUGUAAUCCUUGAAGGACCACCAGUGGCGAAGGCGUCUCACCAGAACGGACCUGACGGCAAGGGACGAAAGCUAGGGGCACGAACCGGAUUAGAUACCCGGGUAGUCCUAGCCGUAAACGAUACUCGCUAGGUGUCGGCCACGGUGCGACCGUUGUCGGUGCCGUAGGGAAGCCGUGAAGCGAGCC